UUGCUGAUCCCAAAGAUAACAGGGGAGGAAGUUUCAGCUGAGAAGAUGGAGCAUGCAGUGGAAGAGGUGAAGAACAGCCUGCAGCUCUUCGAGGAGAAGUUUCUGCAGGAUAAGAUGUUCAUCACCGGGAACCAAAUCUCACUGGCUGACUUGGUGUCCGUGGUGGAGAUGAUGCAGCCCAUGGCAGCCAACUAUAAUGUCUUCCUCAACAGCUGCAAGCUAGCUGAGUGGCGUAUGCGGGUGGAGCUCAAUAUCAGCUCUGGCCUCUUUAGGGAGGCCCAUGAUCGACUAAUGCAGUUGGCCGACUGGGACUUUUCAACAUUGGAUUCAAUGGUCAAGGAGAAUAUUUCUGAGUUGCUGAAGAAGAGCAGGUGACACUAGGCGCAGCCUGUCCCGCAGGGCCUGGCUGGCUUAGCAAUCUGAGCCA
rnacentral:sRNA from 1 species